UAACAUUUUCAAUGCAGGACUUACUUGUAAAAGAGUACUUUUACAGUGUGGUAUCAGUACUUUUACUUCAGUAAAAGGAUCGGAAUACUUCUCCCACCACUGGAGGAAUCACAUACAAA